rnacentral:rRNA from 1 species
CCGGUGCCGGAAGGUUAAGAGGAUCCGUCAGUCCUUCGGGAUGAAGCGGUGAAUUCAAGCCCCGGUAAACGGCGGUGGUAACUAUAACCAUCCUAAGGUAGCGAAAUUCCUUGUCGGGUAAGUUCCGACCUGCACGAAUGGCGUAACGACUUCCCCACUGUCUCGACCAGGAGCUCGGCGAAAUUGCAGUACGAGUAAAGAUGCUCGUUAAGCGCAGAAGGACGAAAAGACCCCGGGACCUUUACUAUACCUUGGUAUUGGCGUUAGGCGCGGAUUGUGUAGCAUAGGCGGGAGGCUUCGAAGCGGGUGCGCCAGCAUUCGUGGAGCCGCAAGGUGAAAUACCGCUCUGUUCUCGUUUGACGUCUAACCUCGACAAGUCAUCCUUGUCAGGGACAGUGCCUGGCGGGUAGUUCAACUGGGGCGGUUGCCUCCCAAAGAGUAACGGAGGCGCUCAAAGGUCCGCUCAGCCCGGUUGGCAAUCGGGUGUCGAGUGUAAUCGCACAAGCGGGCUUGACUGCGAGGACGACGGUCCGAGCAGGGACGAAAGUCGGAGAUAGUGAUCCGGUGCCGGCGCACGGGCGCGGCAUCGCUCAACGGAUAAAAGGUACCCCGGGGAUAACAGGCUGAUCAUUCCCAAGAGUCCAUAUCGACGGGAUGGUUUGGCACCUCGAUGUCGGCUCGUCGCAUCCUGGGGCUGGAGCAGGUCCCAAGGGUUCGGCUGUUCGCCGAUUAAAGCGGCACGCGAGCUGGGUUCAGAACGUCGUGAGACAGUUUGGUCUCUAUCCUCUGCGCUCGUUGGAAUCCUGAGGAGGCCUGCCCAUAGUACGAGAGGACCUGGGUGGACGAACCUCUGGUAUGCCGGUUGUCGCGCCAGCGGCACGGCCGGUUGGCUACGUUCGGGAGGGAUAACCGCUGAAAGCAUCUAAGCGGGAAGCCUGCUCCAAGAUUAGGAUUCCGUACGGUCUUGAACCGUUGUAGCCCGCAUGUUGAACACGUGUUUGAUAGGCCGGAGGUGGAAGUCCCGUGAGGGGUGGAGCCGACCGGUACUAACGGGCGACGGCGACACAAC